GAUGAACGCUGGCGGCGUGCCUAAUACAUGCAAGUCGAGCGAACGGACGAGAAGCUUGCUUCUCUGAUGUUAGCGGCGGACGGGUGAGUAACACGUGGAUAACCUACCUAUAAGACUGGGAUAACUUCGGGAAACCGGAGCUAAUACCGGAUAAUAUUUUGAACCGCAUGGUUCAAAAGUGAAAGACGGUCUUGCUGUCACUUAUAGAUGGAUCCGCGCUGCAUUAGCUAGUUGGUAAGGUAACGGCUUACCAAGGCAACGAUGCAUAGCCGACCUGAGAGGGUGAUCGGCCACACUGGAACUGAGACACGGUCCAGACUCCUACGGGAGGCAGCAGUAGGGAAUCUUCCGCAAUGGGCGAAAGCCUGACGGAGCAACGCCGCGUGAGUGAUGAAGGUCUUCGGAUCGUAAAACUCUGUUAAUAGGGAAGAACAUAUGUGUAAGUAACUGUGCACAUCUUGACGGUACCUAAUCAGAAAGCCACGGCUAACUACGUG
rnacentral:rRNA from 1 species